GUGUUUUCCUUUUGCAUAACGAUUGCCACGUGAGCUAGCCUCUGUUGCCCAUCGUCGUCAGUUUCAGAGGGUACAUUUCUCAGUGCUGCUUUUUCCCCAGGUCUCCACGCCCUUGUGUGUUUCUUUUGCUUAACGAUUGCCACCUGAGCUAGCCUCUGUGGCCCAUCUUUGUCAGUUUCAGAGGGUAGAUUUCUCAGUCUUGCUCUUUCCCAAGUUCUGCACGCCCUUGUGUGUGGGUUUUUUUUUUUUUUUUUUUUUGCUCAAAUAUUGAACCUAAGCUAGCAUCUGUUGCCCUUCUUCGUCAGUUUCAGAGGGUGGAUUUCUCCGUGUUGCUUUUUCCCCAGGUCUCCACGCCCUUGUGUGUUUCUUUUGCUUAACGAUUGCCACCUGAGCUAGCCUCUGUGGCCCAUUUUCGUCAGCUUCAGAGGGUAGAUUUCUCAGUGUUGCUUUUUCCCCAGGUCUCCACGCCCUUGUGUGUUUCUUUUGCUUAACGAUUGCCGCCUGAGCUAGCCUCUGUGGCCCAUUUUCGUCAGCUUCAGAGGGUGGAUUUCUCAGUGUUGCUUUUUCCCCAGGUCUCCACGUCCCUCAGUGUGUGUGUGUGUGUGAGUGUGUGUGUUUUCUUUGCAAGAUUGGCACUUGAGCUAACGUGUGUUGCCCAUCUUUGUCAGUUUCAGAGGCUAGAUUUUUCAGUAUCGCUCUUUCCCAAGGUCUCCACUCCCGUUGCUCUUUUCUUUGUUUCUUUGUUUCUUUGUUCUUUCUUUUUGGCUUAAAUAUUGUCACCUG
rnacentral:lncRNA from 1 species